rnacentral:rRNA from 1 species
UACGUAGGUCUCAAGCGUUAUCCGGAUUUACUGGGCGUAAAGCGUGCGUAGGCGGCUGGUUAAGUCUUCGGUGAAAUCUCCGGGCCCAACUCGGAAACUGUCGAAGAUACUGGCUAGCUGGAGUAUGGCAGAGGCAGAUGGAAUUGAUGGUGUAGCGGUAAAAUGCGUAGAUAUCAUCAAGAACACCCAUGGCGAAGGCAGUCUGCUGGGCCACUACUGACGCUGAGGCACGAAAGCGUGGGGAGCGAACGGG